GUCUACGACCAUCCUAUCCUGAACAAGUCCAAUCCCGUCUGAUCUCGGAAGCUAAGCAGGGUUGGGCCUGGUUAGUACUUGGAUGGGAGACCACCUAGGUGCUGUAGGUGUAAAAAAAA
rnacentral:rRNA from 1 species